rnacentral:rRNA from 1 species
GACGAACGCUGGCGGCGUGCUUAACACAUGCAAGUCGAACGGAAAGGCCCUGCUUUUGUGGGGUGCUCGAGUGGCGAACGGGUGAGUAACACGUGAGUAACCUGCCCUUGACUUUGGGAUAACUUCAGGAAACUGGGGCUAAUACCGGAUAGGAGCUCCUGCUGCAUGGUGGGGGUUGGAAAGUUUCGGCGGUUGGGGAUGGACUCGCGGCUUAUCAGCUUGUUGGUGGGGUAGUGGCUUACCAAGGCUUUGACGGGUAGCCGGCCUGAGAGGGUGACCGGCCACAUUGGGACUGAGAUACGGCCCAGACUCCUACGGGAGGCAGAAGUGGGGAAUAUUGAAAAAUGGGCGGAAGCCUGAUGCAGCAACGCCGAGUGCGGGAUGACGGCCUUCGGGUUGUAAACCGCUUUCGCCUGUGACGAAGCGUGAGUGACGGUAAUGGGUAAAGAAGCACCGGCUAACUACGUG